AAGCUCCCUAGAGCUGGUCGCUGCCCCUUAACUGGGAAGAAAUACGCCUCAGACCAAGGAACGCUUGUGUACUGCCAGUUCCAUAAUGGAGGUCUCUGAUCUUUCUACGGGAACUGACAAUCUCUCCCUGAGUGAGAUGGACAUAUCUUUAUCUGAUGACAUCACAACACCAAAAGUUGACAAUGAUACGAACGGAUCUUUAGAGGACGGCAAUGCAACGGAACCUAUGUGUGUGCUUCUUCAAGAAAAAUAUCAUGCAUUUUUGGCUCAUAGUAAUACUGAUGCUAAG